GCUACACAUGCAGUCGAGCGGUAGCACAGAGAGCUUGCUCUCGGGUGACGAGCGGCGGACGGGUGAGUAAUGUCUGGGAAACUGCCUGAUGGAGGGGGAUAACUACUGGAAACGGUAGCUAAUACCGCAUAACGUCGCAAGACCAAAGAGGGGGACCUUCGGGCCUCUUGCCAUCAGAUGUGCCCAGAUGGGAUUAGCUAGUAGGUGGGGUAACGGCUCACCUAGGCGACGAUCCCUAGCUGGUCUGAGAGGAUGACCAGCCACACUGGAACUGAGACACGGUCCAGACUCCUACGGGAGGCAGCAGUGGGGAAUAUUGCACAAUGGGCGCAAGCCUGAUGCAGCCAUGCCGCGUGUAUGAAGAAGGCCUUCGGGUUGUAAAGUACUUUCAGCGGGGAGGAAGGCGAUAAGGUUAAUAACCUUGUCGAUUGACGUUACCCGCAGAAGAAGCACCGGCUAACUCCGUGCCAGCAGCCGCGGUAAUACGGAGGGUGCAAGCGUUAAUCGGAAUUACUGGGCGUAAAGCGCACGCAGGCGGUCUGUCAAGUCGGAUGUGAAAUCCCCGGGCUCAACCUGGGAACUGCAUUCGAAACUGGCAGGCUAGAGUCUUGUAGAGGGGGGUAGAAUUCCAGGUGUAGCGGUGAAAUGCGUAGAA
rnacentral:rRNA from 1 species